AUGAUGUUAUAUUCUCAGCCAUCUGCAUCAACCAUCCCUAUGAAAUAAUAACGUUCUCAUGUUAAUUCUCCUACAAUUACUCACGGCUUGAUGGUUGUUAAUAACAAUAUUCAAGGAUGCAUAGUUCGUCUAAUGUUUCUUAUAAGGUAUACCUGUGAUUUUAUCAGACAAGAGUAGCUGCCUUCUCAAUUCUCCAGAGCAAAUCAGUCCCAACCAGUACUCUGACAUUGCCGUUUCUGAUGAUUCCUUGGUUCAUCAUAAUCACAAUACAAAUAGCUGUUAAGGAAAACGGGUUUGUCCUAUUGAUGCUGAUGGAUUCCACAUUGUUCUUCCUAAUGCAGGAGAAACCGCAGGAAGAGUAAAAAACCCUCUGCAUCCAUAGAAUUACUGAACAUUACUUCCAUGAGGAUUAUAACAGUGAUCUGAAUGAUUACUCAAUAUACAGUGCUCAGUCCUGUGUUUCAGAUUUGCAAACCUGCUAAUUUGGUUCAAUCUGUGUCACUGAAAAGUCUAAUAUCUCACUUAUUCGUAUUCAUUGGCUACUCCAAAUCUGCUGGUUUUUAUUGGUGGUUGCUGGAAUAAACUUUUUCCGAUGGUUUGAACUUUGCUGGGAUCUUUCGGAGUUUUGUUUUGUUCAGCUGAUGUCAGCAAACUAUUUAGAGUAUUAUUCUGUUGUCACUUGCUGCUGAUGGUUGGAUUGCUCCAAUUGUUUGCUGCUUUAUUCGUGCACCAUUUCUUGGUUCAAAGGAGUGAUGAUGGAGUGCUGACUUUUAACUCUGCAUCACUUCUCUUUAUUGUUUCUUGUGGAGUUCCGGUGCUGCAGUUGCUGUUUCAGCAUCAUUCAGGGAUGAAGUAGCUGUUUAUUUAUUUUGGGCACUCCUCAAAUUAUAGUUAUCACUAUCGGUGGACAAUUUGGUUUUAAAAUGUCAGACUUGUAGCCUUAAUAUCCGUUCCUCUUCAGUUGCUUCUCAUAUGGACAAAAGAAUGGAUCAGAUCAAAUUGAAAAAUGAAAAAAUUUGUACAAUUUGGAAAAGUUAUACGUUUCUUCACAACUUUGUGGGAAAUCAUUAGGUAUGAAGAUGUCAGAUACCUAUGACUCGAUUGGUGAAAUAGUCUCUCUCCAAAAAAUAUAUACUUUUUUAUUGAUGCACAAAGAAAAGAUUUUGUUGCGAAUAGACAAAAUAUUGAGGAAUUGUCCAUAUGCAAGAUCAUAGUUAUUGAUACGGGUCUUUACCACAUCAAAGGAGAAUCUUUUGUUACAACUAUGCAGUUUUUUCUUUUUUAUAUUGGAUUUGUGCCCUUUUGAUUCUGCUUCCAUUCAGAAUGCGACUAUAGUGCUACCCUAGAUUAUUUAUAUGUAAUAUAUAAUACAAUUAAAAUUUUCAAGAGACCCAUGGGAUUAUAGAAUCGUGUGAGUAGGAUUAUUAGGAUUUAAUAUUAUUAAAUUGUUAAAAAAAAGGUUCUCUGGGUAGAAGAUUUUGUUUUUGCUGGAGGACUUCUGAAUUGAAGGCUUUGACAAUAUUUCGAGUUUUCUUUGUUCAGGUGCUGUUCAUUUAUUUAUCACAAUUUUUUUCAUUCCUGCCACCUGGGCAAUCCCGAAUACAAUGAAAUGGUUUUCUGCAGGUUUGUUGUUGCUGGAUUCGCUGAUAUAUGCAGGUUUUGCUUUUAGCCUUUACUUUAGCUGUUGUUUGGCUGCCUCUUAGAUUCUCAGCAGACAACUUUUAAUGCAAUAACAGUAUCGGAUUUUGUUGUGCUUGCAUAUUUAUAUUGAUAUCUUCAAAUGCUUGUAUCAUGGAUAGUCUUUUUAUCUAAUCAAUAUGGGUUUCAGAUUGUGUCAUGCAAUGUUGUUAUCCAAUCAAUAAUGAAGAAAGGGCUUCACAAGCUGCCGCAAAUAUCAUCUCAGAGCUUUUUGGGCACGAAGUUUUGGUUAGCCAUUCAUCUCUACUAACCAUCAAUAUAAUUUUCUUCCUGCAAGAGUGACAAAAUAAAUUAGUUUAAUCAAUUUGAGAAGUCAAAGUACAUCUAUAUUGCUGGUUUUUUCCUUUCGGUUUCUCUGGAGUCAAUACUUCGGCUUCGUUUGGGGCGGCGUUCUUUCUACUUCUUAAAGCAGUUUUCUAGUAUAAAAAUUUUAAUUUUCAUACUACAAUGCUGCUUUAAGAAGCAGAAAGAAAGCCGUGCCAAAUGAGGCCUUCAUGUGGCUAAGCACGUAGCUGCAAAACACAAGGCAAGUGUUCUAUUUACAGAAUAAUUUAUCUAUCUGUGAUCUAUUUUUCUCAUAUGUAUAUAAAAUGAUAAUGCGUAGCCAUUUUGAUUUUUUCUCCUUGAUGCAGUUCUUAACUUUAUUAGUGAUUAAGAUUAUUAGUCUGAUGUAACCUAUAUGAUAAUUCCUUCCAAAAUGUUUG